rnacentral:tRNA from 1 species
GUAGUUGUAGCUCAGUGGUAGAGUGCUUGCCUCGAAUGCAGAAGGAACUGGGUUCAAUACUCAGCAACCACA